rnacentral:rRNA from 1 species
GACGAACGCUGGCGGCGUGCUUAACACAUGCAAGUCGAACGGAAAGGCCCUGCUUUUGUGGGGUGCUCGAGUGGCGAACGGGUGAGUAACACGUGAGUAACCUGCCCUUGACUUUGGGAUAACUUCAGGAAACUGGGGCUAAUACCGGAUAGGAGCUCCUGCUGCAUGGUGGGGGUUGGAAAGUUUCGGCGGUUGGGGAUGGACUCGCGGCUUAUCAGCUUGUUGGUGGGGUAGUGGCUUACCACGGCUUUGACGGGUAGCCGGCCUGAGAGGGUGACGGGCCACAUUAGGACAGAACUACGGCCCAGACUCCUACGGGAGGUAGCAGUGGGGAAUAUUGCACAAUGGGCGGAAGCCUGAUGCAGCAACGCCGCGUGCGGGAUGACGGCCUUCGGGUUGUAAACCGCUUUCGCCUGUGACGAAGCGUGAGUGACGGUAAUGGGUAAAGAAGCACCGGCUAACUACGUG